rnacentral:rRNA from 1 species
CCUACGGGAGGCAGCAGUGAGGAAUAUUGGUCAAUGGACGAGAGUCUGAACCAGCCAAGUAGCGUGAAGGAUGACUGCCCUAUGGGUUGUAAACUUCUUUUAUAAAGGAAUAAAACGCGGCACGUGUGCCUUUUUGCAUGUACUUUAUGAAUAAGGAUCGGCUAACUCCGUGCCAGCAGCCGCGGUAAUACGGAGGAUCCGAGCGUUAUCCGGAUUUAUUGGGUUUAAAGGGAGCGUAGAUGGGUUGUUAAGUCAGUUGUGAAAGUUUGCGGCUCAACCGUAAAAUUGCAAUUGAUACUGGUAGUCUUGAGUACAGUUGAGGUAGGCGGAAUUCGUGGUGUAGCGGUGAAAUGCUUAGAUAUCACGAAGAACCACGAUUGCGAAGGCAGCUUACUAAACUGUGACUGACAUUGAUGCUCGAAAGUGUGGGUAUCAAACAGGAUUAGAUACCCCAGUAGUC